AAUAUUGCGCAAUGAGGUGAACCUUGCCGCAGCAAUCCCGCGUGAGUUACGAAGGCCUUCGUGUCGUAAAGCUCUGUCUCAAGGGCUGAUACUGACCGUACCUUAAGAGGAAGCCUCUGCUAUCCACGUGCCAGCAGCCGCGGUAUUACGUAGGGGGCGAGCGUUGUCCGGAUUUACUGGGUGGAAAGGGCGCGCAGGCGGUUUAGUAAGUCAGCUGUGAAAGUCCAGGGCUUAACCCUGGAAUUGCAGUUGAAACUACCAAACUGGAGAUAAGGAGAGGAGAGCGGAAUUCCUAGUGUAGCGGUGAAAUGCGUAGAUAUUAGGAAGAACACCAGUGGAGAAGGCGGCUCUCUGGCCGUACCCUGACGCUGAAGCGAGAAAGCGUGGGUAGCGAACA
rnacentral:rRNA from 1 species